rnacentral:misc_RNA from 1 species
AUGUUGUUAUUUCUUGAGGAAUGCCAUUAUUUAUGAAACAUUAAUCUAUGAGAUCGUCUAUAGCGAAAUAUCCAGUCACUUGAAUUUCCCUCAUAAUUCUCUUGCGGUGAUUCUUCAUCCUUGUGCUCUACCCAACAUGCAAAUUCUAUUAUGGUGGACUUUCAUAUCCCAUAUGUCCAACUUCUAACUUAUCCACGCUUGAAGUAUACAACCACCUGAUCCUUGGUAUUAGCACUAUUUGAUGAAGAAGGUUUUGCAUUAUUGAAACAGUCAAAUGGCUGUGAAGCAACUGAUCUGGAGCUACGAGUUGCACCAAAACUCCUUUUUGAAGCUAUCUCCUUGGAUGGAACCCAGUUUUUUUAGUGAUUUGUUGGUUCAGAUAUUCCUCCACAUCAAGGGCCAUUUAGAAUGCAUGUUCUACUCUAUAUACAGGCCUGUCUAAACAUUUUUUUUUUCUUUAUGUUGGCUCUUAAACCAGCCUUGAAUCGUU